AUUGAACGCUGGCGGCAGGCCUAACACAUGCAAGUCGAGCGAGCGGCGGACGGGUGAGUAAUGUCUGGGAAACUGCCUGAUGGAGGGGGAUAAAUACUGGAAACGGUAGCUAAUACCGCAUACCAUCAGAUUUGCCCAGAUGGGAUUAGCUAGUAGGUGGGGUAACGGCUCACCUGGGCGACGAUCCCUAGCUGGUCUGAGAGGAUGACCAGCCACACUGGAACUGAGACACGGUCCAGCCUCCUAGGGGAGGCAGCAGGGGGGAAUAUUGCAAAAGGGGCGAAAGCCGGAUGCAGCCAUGCCGCGGGGGUGAAGAAGGCCUUCGGGUUGUAAAGCACGUUCAGCGGGGAGGCGUUACCCGCAGAAGAAGCACCGGCUAACUCCGUGCCAGCAGCCGCGGUAAUAC
rnacentral:rRNA from 1 species